ACAAAUAUUGUGUUCCUAACUGUGGAGAUAUGUAUAGUAAACGUCAUCGUUUUCGAAUGAAGAGAAGCAGCCAACAAUUUUCAAACUUUGGCUCGAAAAAGUUAGUUAUCCAUUGCUCAACUCUAAAACUCCUCAACAAAUUUGUAAGAAGUGAAAUUAGAUAGCCUUAAAGGAAUUUGACAACUGCUAUUCCUGAAUUAUUUCUUCCUGGAUCUUCAAAUCAAGGGGAAGAUGGAGAAGUUCAUGACACUGAAGGAAUACAUCUCCAAAGUGAUGUUGAGAGGGAAGUAUCAACAGAGACUUUGAAGAAUUUUAAGCACCCUCAGAAAACUUCAAUAAUAUAUAGAAAAAGAUAUCGAGGACAACAAUUAAUUGACACUAGAGGCUGUGGGCACUGCAGAGCUGAUGAUUUUUAUGGAUAAGCUGUUUGAUAGCCUGAAUAUGCAAUUGUGAAGGACACAUUAAAAAUUUGGCAUACUAGAAAUAUUUAAAAAAAUGUAAAAUUUUAAAUAGAUGAUUUUUUUAUAUGAA